rnacentral:rRNA from 1 species
ACGCUCGCCGGGGCCCGCGUGGCGGAGCUCGACGUCGGGGCGAUGGUCGCGGGGACUCAGUGGCGCGGCAUGUUUGAGCAGCGCUUGAAGGAUGCCAUCAAGCAGGUGGAGGAUGCCCGCGGCAAGCUCAUCCUCUUCAUAGACGAGAUGCACAUGAUUGUUGGUGCUGGCGACCGAGACGGCACCGGGGACGCUGCCAACAUCCUCAAGCCGGCGUUAGCCCGUGGCCGCAUCCGUUGCAUAGGCGCAACCACAUCUGAAGAGUACCGCAGACACAUUCAGAAGGAUGCGGCGCUCGAUCGGCGGUUCCAAAGGGUUGAUGUCGAGGAGCCGAGCGUGCCAGCGACCGUUGCCAUCCUGCAGGGG